rnacentral:tRNA from 1 species
GCGAGAAUGGCGGAAUUGGUAUACGCACCAUCUUGAGGGGGUGGCGCUGGAAACGGCGUGAGGGUUCAAGUCCCUCUUCUCGCACCA